AUACACAAUACAUACAUAACAAAAACAUAACAUUCAUUGUUAGUCCACCAGAACCAACACCUACAAUUCAUGAACCCCCUUUUUAGUUACAGCGAUGCUCUAGUUUCCAACCACUAUCCUUCAUGUAUAUUAUGUUGUCAUCAAAUAACACUUGAAUAACCUUUCUAAAACAUGUGAAAACAUGAACAUUGGCAAUGAGCUUAGCUAGAUUCUAUUCCCUCGGCUCAGUGUAACAGUUGCCUUUUUUCACUUGGCCCUAAUUUCAACUUCCGAAGUUAUUCAGCGACCGUCAGAUUGCUGCCAAGGCCACCCUGUCACGCUGCAAGCACUUCAUACACGGCUGUUAGCCUACACUUGCGAAAAAACAAGCAUGUCGUAACAUUGGUUGAGCAACUGUUGUGCUGACAGCGAGUACUCUUCCACUCUCUCUCUUUCUGCCUCACUUCCUCUCUACAGUUUUCUGGAGUUAAAAAAUAAUAAUAUAUGUCUGACAGAGAAAAGAGUAGGCAGCAGGCGGACACAUAUGGAAGCCAGUCUUCCCCUGAGAUGUCUGCAGUGUCUGUCUGCAAGCCUGCUGUACUAGCUCUCUGCAUUCAUCUCUUCUUGAACAUAAAGAACGGUCGCUAAAUGCUAACUCGUUAACUAGCCAGACACGGUCAACGACAGGGUAGUCGGACUAUGACAGAGAGCUUAAUCCUCCUUGGAGGACACAGAGUAAGACCCAGGGCCAAGGGAAAAGAGGCAGCAGUCGGGGGAGGCUGGCUACUCCGUACUCUGACUAAAUUACUUCCGGCGCCGACAGAGAUGGCCGCCUCGCUUCGCGUUCCAAGGAAACUAUGCAGUAUUUCUUUUUUUUACGUGUUAUUUUGUACAUUGGUACCCCACUUAAUCUUAGGUUUUAUUACGUACAGUCGGGAGGAACUAUUGGAUAUAAGAGCAACGUCAACUCACCAUCAUUAUGACCAGGAAUACGACUUUCCGAAGCGUAUCCUCUGUUUUGCCCACCACCAGGGACAAUGGAUCGAAUCAAACCAAAACAACAAUGCCGUAAAAGGGGCAGACGAAGCGGUCUUCUAGUCAGGCUCCGGAGACAGGCACAUUGCGCACCGCUCCCGAGCAUACUACUCGCCAAUGUCCAGUCUCUUGACAACAAGGUUGAUGAAAUACGAGCAAGGGCAGCAUUCCAGAGAGACAUAUAUAACUAACAUUCUUUGCUUCACGGAAACAUGGCUCACUCGAGACACGCUAUCGGAGUUGGUACAGCCACCUGGUUUCUUCACCCAUCACGCCGACAGAAACAAGCAUCUUUCUGAGUGCGAGCUGAUCAAGGGUUCGAAAAUGUGGAUAUUGCCAGAUGUUCACUGUUUGAGGAACAGGCCGGAGAAGCCUUAUUGUUGGCAAAAGUGUCCAUAACCAGAGAUUCAGCAGGUGGAGGACCUGCUUUAGCAGGAAGAUCAUCUGGAAACACUGACAAUGGGUCAUUGUUCCUGACAUCCCAUGCUCCCUGUCUACUGAGAAUCUUGCUGUGCUCCAACGUCAAGUGAACCCUACCAACGACUCAUCUUUUGGUCAGGACAUAUACAUGCAUGCUCUUCGAUUAGUAUUGAGUCUCCAACCUUUUCAGGUGCAGUCCUCCCACACUAUAUAGGAUAUUGUUUUAGCCCCAGUGCCACUCUUGAUAAUGGCAAACAUUUUGUAUUUUUUGGAGGAGGGUGAAAGGAUAGCAGGCCCAGCUGUCAAAGUGAGAGGGGAGGCUAUUCUGCAUAGAGCGGGUACUUGUGUGUAGUCUAUUUCUUGUGAGCUUUUCUGUCCUCAGAUACAGAGAGCUGUGAAAGCCUGUCUGCAGAUUAAGAGGUCCCAAUGAAGAGCAGGGGUUUUCAGUCCUGGUGCUGGGGACUCAAAACGUUUGUUUGUGCCUUGGCACUACACAGCCGAUUCAAAUGAUCAAGUCACCAUCAAGCUUCAAAUGGUGUUUUGAUGUGAGAGAGGAAGACCCGAGGAAAUCCCGUCAGCGCCGCCUCACCCGCUCUUAAGAUAAUCUACGGGCCGACUGGGAGUCCAAGGCUGGUUAGAAGACACCGCUAGAGACACUAUGUAAUUGUGAUGAACUGAGAGAAUAUUAGGGUGGCACUAAUUCAUUAAUCAUAUGCUGUCUUCCCUGCUCCUCUGUUUUACCUCUCUCCCCACCUCUUUCUUGUAUUUAUAAUGAAUGUAUUAUGUAUUUAUAACACCUGGAUAAUGAACUUUCAAUAAAGCGUUUCACAUUCUCCACUGGUUGAAAUUAAGUAUCUCAUUAAGAUACUACACCUAUCCUGUGUCCUCAGAUUAAUUUUAUUUUUAUUUUAUUUUACCAGGCAAGUCAGUUAAGAACAAAUUCUUAUUUUCAAUGACGGCCUAGGAACAGUGGGUUAACUGCCUGUUCAGGGGCAGAACGACAGAUUUGUACCUUGUCAGCUCGGGGGUUUGAACUCGCAACCUUCCGGUUACUCGUCCAGCGCUCUAACCACUAGGCUACCCUGCCGAUGAUGAAGGGAGUUAGAUUUGCAU